GACGACCGCUGGCGGCGUGCUUAACACAUGCAAGCCGAACGGAAAGGCCUGCUUUCCCUUGUGGAUUGCGGGUACUCGAGUGGCGAACGGGUGAGUAACACGUGAGUGAUCUGCCCCCAACUUGGGUAUAAGCCUGGGAAACUGGGUCUAAUUCCCGAUAGGACUGCAGGGUGGUGCCUGUGGUGGAAAACGAUUUUCUAGUGGUUGGGGAUGAGCUCGCGGCCUAUCAGCUUGUUGGUGGGGUAAUGGCCUACCAAGGCGGCGACGGGUAGCCGGCCUGAGAGGGUGGACGGCCACAUUGGGACUGAGAUACGGCCCAGACUCCUACGGGAGGCAGCAGUGGGGAAUAUUGCACAAUGGGCGGAAGCCUGAUGCAGCGACGCCGCGUGGGGGAUGACGGCCUUCGGGUUGUAAACUCCUUUCGACCGCGAGGAAGCCACCUGGUUGGAAGGGUGGUGACGGUAGUGGUAGAAGAAGCACCGGCUAACUACGUG
rnacentral:rRNA from 1 species